rnacentral:miRNA from 1 species
AUAUUUCGGAACAGAAUCUAGUUCCUUCGAUACCAAUGUAACACUACAUAACAUUACACUGGUAUCGAAGGAACUAGAUUCUGUUCCGAAAUAU